GAUGAAGAACGUAGCGAAAUGCGAUAAGUAGUGUGAAUUGCAGAAUUCAGUGAAUCAUCGAAUCUUUGAGCGCACAUUGCGCCCCUUGGUAUUCCAUGGGGCAUGCCUGUUCGAGCGUCAUUUGUACCUUCAAGCUCUGCUUGGUGUUGGGUGUUUGUCUCGCCUCUGCGUGUAGACUCGCCUCAAAACAAUUGGCAGCCGGCGUAUUGAUUUCGGAGCGCAGUACAUCUCGCGCUUUGCACUCAUAACGACGACGUCCAAAAGUACAUUUUUACACUCUUGACCUCGGAUCAGGUAGGGAUACCCGCUGAACUUAAGCAUAUCAAUAAGCGGAGGA
rnacentral:misc_RNA from 1 species